ensembl:snoRNA
UGCAAUUGUGCUUGUUUUUGUUCAGUUUUGUGGACAAAGACUUACACCUGAGUGCAGAAAAUAAAUCCUCUUUUGCAACCCAGAACUCAUGGCUCAGUACAAGUUUUGAUACAUGUAAGAAGGAACAAG